rnacentral:sRNA from 1 species
AUGUACCACGCGUCCACUCCGGUUCCUGCGCGCGCCGUCCGCACCCACCUGACGGCUGCGCCGUCGUUUUGUUAGCC